CAUUUCCGGGGACGUGAAAACGGCGUCGUAGAAGGGUGGAGGAGCGUGGGAACUAACGACAUUUAGGGGUUAAUAAGAGAGUGGGGAAUAGAAGAGGGGGAAGAAGGAAGCUUGAAGAGGACGAGAGAGAGAGAAAGAGAGAGAGAGAAUCGAAUAAUUAGAGAGAAUGUUUGGAAUUGUUGCGGGAAAUGAAAGCGAAGGGUGGGAAUUUUGAAUUGGUGAAGGGUGAUUGUGGAUUUGGUGCUUGGUUUCCAUCGCCUUCACUUCAUUUCAGUAUCUCUGGUUUGGAUGAUUGCUUGAUUGAACCCUUUCUGUUUGGGACUUUGGAUCCCACCAACCUCCAAACCUCCAAAUACUUGCUCCCUUUCCUUACAAACCAUAAAAUAAUCGGACCAGAAUCUGACGGCUGAGAUUGGGCGAGCUCACGCGUAGAACCGGGUAAUCUGCUACAUCGAACGGGUCAAAUUUCCCCGGGCAAAAUCAGUCUCCUCCCCUUUUUCUGCAGACCACUCCAUCAAUUUCUUUGUCAAUUUCCCCCCCAGCGAGUCGGGAGUGCUGAGCGUGAAGAGCAGCGGCACUUCUUCAAACAGAAAGAUAGGAUAUUUUGUCGCUAAGAAGAAGAUUGAGAGCUCUUCAAGCAAGCAGGCAGCUGAUUUCAAGCACAAAUUUGUGCACACUGUCACAAAAACUGAGGUUGAACCCAUCACCCAUGUCAAAUAUUUGAUUAAUUUUUUGAAUUUUUUAACUUUUUGACCUCAAAGUUGUCUUCUUUGGAUUGGUUUUUCAAUUGGGUGAAUUGGGUUUGAGGGGUUGUGAAUUGAUUUAGCUGUUUUUGAUGGACUAUGAGAUGUUUUAAUGACUCGCUAUAGAGCCUAAGCUAAAGUCCCAAGAGCAACAUUCUGGCCACCACCUUCUGGGACAACCAGGUGCAAUGCUGGGAGAUACACCAGAGUGGACAAAAUCUUGCUAGUGUGGCCAAGGCAUCCAUACCCCCACGACCAACCGGUUUAGUGCUCAACUUGGAAGGAUGAUGGAUCUACUGUGUUCUCUGGUGGUUGUGACAAGCAAGUUAAGAGUGGCCUUUGGCUGGUAACCAACCAGUGACCGCUACAUACAUGAUGCACCCAUAAAAGAGGUUGCUUGGGAUCCCGGAGGAAAUGAACUACUUAGUCACAGGAAUCUGAGGAGAGAGGAGGCACGACACAGGUGUAAGCUAUGACAAUUACAGGGUGUACUCCAGCGCGAGCUUCCCAGGUAGUUGGAACCCAAGCCUUGUCUACAUUAAUUUUGAUGAGUGGACUUUGAGGGGCUUUGCAAGUGAUGGUUCUCUGUACUGCAGGCCCAUGGAGAGAUAGGAAAAUUGAUUGUACUGAUGCAAUGUCCGAUACAAGCUUGGUGCCCUGUCGUUGAAAAUAGCCGAGCAUCGCUCUUUCCACAUUAAUUCUGGAAGGUUAGAUGCUACCGGUUAAUUAGCCAUAGAAGAUGCCAGCAGUCUAGAGACACCAUAGUUGGAGUUGGCCCAGGAAUAGUCAUCAAAGGCAGAGGGUGAGUGCGAUCGGUGAUGAGCAAAUAAUUGCUGGGAAUUUGAAGCAUGUCAAUUUUAUAAGUGGGCACCGCCAACGCCAUCAAUUUUAUAAGCACUUAUUUGUCGACGAUAUUCCUAUGUCAAGACACAACUCACAAGCCGGACGAGUCUCUGAAAUAGUUAGAAAAACCCGUGACCCUCUAUUCUCUCAUGUUUCAGCUACUUUUUUGUCUCUUUUCCUUCUACUUUAAAGCUUCACGAGCACCAAAAUUGCUACGUGAAGACAAGUAUCUAGCAAAUAGUUAAAACCGCACACAAGAUAUUUACCUUUUGCUCAAGGUUUAAAUAUUAAAAUGCCCUCCAUCUUUUUCGAUA